rnacentral:rRNA from 1 species
UGCAGUCGACGAAGUAGCAAUACUUAGUGGCAGACGGGUGAGUAACAUGUGGGUAUCUACCCUUUGGCCUGGAAUAACACGAGGAAACUUGUGCUAAUACCGGAUAAGUCUUUACGGAGAAAGCUUUAUGCACCAUUGGAUGAGCCCGCACUUGAUUAGUUUGUUGGUAGGGUAAUGGCCUACCAAGACUAUGAUCAAUAGCUGAUUUGAGAGGAUGAUCAGCCACAUUGGGACUGAGACACGGCCCAAACUCCUACGGGAGGCAGCAGUGGGGAAUCUUGCACAAUGGAGGAAACUCUGAUGCAGCGAUGCCGCGUGAGUGAAGAAGGCCCUUGGGUUGUAAAGCUCUUUCGUCGGGGAAGAAAAUGACUGUACCCGAAUAAGAAGGUCCGGCUAACUUCGUGCCAGCAGCCGCGGUAAUACGAAGGGACCUAGCGUAGUUCGGAAUUACUGGGCUUAAAGAGUUCGUAGGUGGUUGAAAAAGUUAGUGGUGAAAUCCCAGAGCUUAACUCUGGAACUGCCAUUAAAACUUUUCAGCUAGAGUAUGAUAGAGGAAAGCAGAAUUUCUAGUGUAGAGGUGAAAUUCGUA